rnacentral:rRNA from 1 species
AUUCCAGCUCCAAUAGCGUAUAUUAAAGUUGUUGCAGUUAAAAAGCUCGUAGUUGGAUUUCUGGGCUGAGCGACCGGUCCGCCGCUGUGCGGUGUGUACUCGUGUUCGACUCGGCUCAUCCUUGUGGGGAAACGCAUUUCGGCAUUAGGUUGUCGAGGCGGGGAACCGCAUCGUUUACUGUGAAAAAAUUAGAGUGUUUAAAGCAGGCAAAUUGCUGUGAAUACAUUAGCAUGGAAUAAUAACAUAGGACUUUGGUUCUAUUUUGUUGGUUGGAGGCCAAGGUAAUGAUUAAUAGGGAUAGUUGGGGGUAUUCAUAUUUAAUUGUCAGAGGUGAAAUUCUCGGAUUUAUGAAAGAUGAACUCAUGCGAAAGCAUUUACCAAGGAUGUUUUCAUCA